rnacentral:lncRNA from 1 species
UUUUGUUCCUUAAAAUAUAUUUUCCAAUCAUGUAUAUUUACUUUAAAAUGUAGUUUUCCUUACACAAGUACUACACGAAGACAAUUUUGUUAAAAAGUACAAACAAGAACCCCUAGGUCAGCUCUCCUUUCUGGAGGAAACAGAUGAUUGUCAGGUGGGAGUCUUGCUUCUAGACUUUUCUCUGGAGUUGACCACAUAAAGACGAAACCAUUUCAUAGGCUGCAUGCAGACCACAC